CUUGUUCAAUUCUAUUGCUGAGACUUUCCAGUGCAUUUUGCAUUUCUCUAAGUGUGUCCUUCAUUUCCAGAAUUUGUGAUUGUCUUUUGUUUAUGUUAUCUAUUUCACUGGAGAUUUUUCCAUUCAUAUCCUGUAUCAUUGUUUUUAUUUCUUUAAGCUGAACUUCGUAUUUCUCUGGUGCCUCCUUGAUUAGCUUAAUAAUCGACCUUCUGAAUUCUUCUCCUGGCAAUUCAGAGAUUUUAUCUUUGCUGGUGAGCUAGUAUAAUCUUUUGGGGGUAUUAAAUAAUCUUGUUUUGUCAUAUUACCAGAAUUGUUUUUCUGGUUCCUUCUUUUUUGGGUAGACUAUGUCAGAGGAAAGAUCUGGGACUCAAGGGCUGCUGUUCAGAUUCUUUUGUCCCACGAAGUGCUCCCUUGAUUUGGUGCUUUCCCCCUUCUUCUAGGGAUGGGGCAUCCUGAGAGCCAAACUGCCAUUAUUGUUAUUUCUGUUCUGGAUUUAGCCACUCAGCGGAGCUACUGGGCUCCAGGCCGGUACUGGGGAAUAUCUGCAAAGAGUCCUGUGAUGUUAUCCGUCUUCAGGUCUUUCAGCCAUGGAUACAAGCACCUGCUCUGGUGGAGGUAGCAGGGAACUGAAGUAGACUCUGUGAGGGGUCCGUGGUUGUAUUUUUAAGUGCACUGAUUUUGUGUUGGCUGGCCUCCAGCCAAAAGGUAGCACUUUCAAAAGUGCAUCAGCUGCAGUAGUAUAGGGAGGAUACAAGCUUGCCCAAGUAUCAGGUGGUGGGCAGGGCUAUAGAGCUCCCAAGAGAUUAUGUCCUUUGUCUCCAGCUACCAGGGUGGGUGGAGAAAGAUCAUCACGUUGAGGCGGGGUUAGGCUGUCUGAGUUCAGACUCUCCUUGGGUGGAGCUUGCUGCAGCUGCUGUGGGGGAUGGAGUUGUGGUUUCCCAGGCCAGUGGAGUUAUGGUCCCAGAGGGAUUAUGGCUGCCACUGCUGCAUCACACAGGUUGCCAGGAAAGUGGGGGAAACCCGGCAACCACAGGCCUCACCCGUCUCCCAUGCAGCCCAAAAGUCCAGUCUCACUCCCACCAUGUCCCCGCAAACAGCACUGAAUUUAUUUCCAGGCAACCAGUGAGCAAGGCUGAGAACUUGUCCCAGGUUACGAGACUCCCAGGUACAGUCAUGUGCCGCAUAAUGACAUUCAGUCAAUGACAGACUGCAUAUAUGAGGUGGUCCUGUAAGGUGAUAAUGGAGCUGAAAAAUUCCUACUACUGAACGACAUCAUAGCCAUUGUAACAUCAUAGCACAACCAAUCACCUUUUCUAUAUUUAGAUAAGGAGUUCAUAUGCUGGAAUGAUAGUGACACAGGAGUUUAACACUCCUACAGUAUCCAGAGCCUGGAUCCCUGAGUCAUCAGAUGGAGAAGAACUACUCAGGAGAGUCAUCCAACCUUCAUAGACAGUGGCAUGAGUGGGAAUUAAACAUUGAUUAUGUUAA
rnacentral:lncRNA from 1 species